UUCCUGUCACUCUCACAGUCAGUUUCUUACAGUGUAUCCCUGACCUAUCUAGAACGCAAGGCAAUCCUCCUGUUCAGCCUCCCAAGUGUAGGUACAUGUCAUUGUGUCUGAUGACUCUUUUCUUUUUAAUGUAACUGAAUUUUCUUUAAUGGUAUAGUCCUGGGUGGUUUACCACCCAGUAUUUAAGUAUUUAAGAUUGAAGGAGAGGGCUGGAGAGAUGGCUCAGCACUUAAGAGGACUGGCUGCUUUUCCAUGAGACCUGGAUACUGGUUUGAUUGCCAAUAUCUUCAUAGUGGUUCACAACUGCUUGAAGUUUUAGGGUAUCCAAUGGCCUCUUCUGGUCUCUGUGGACAUCUGAUACACACUAUCUGGUGCACUGAUGUGCAUGCAGACAAACAAACACCACACAUAAACCUAAGCCGACUCAAAGGAGAACUUGGUCUUGGUGUUGUUGUCCCUCGCUUUUUACCCCUGGGAAGCCAGGGAUGCCGCACUGUGCCCCGGUGCUUGAGUCAUCUUUAUUACUUGUCUGUUUGGUAUAUGUGUGUGUACAUACUCCCUCCCCCACCCCACCUCCUUGCGCACCACCUUAUU
rnacentral:lncRNA from 1 species